AACGAACGCUGGCGGCAGGCCUAACACAUGCAAGUCGAACGCCGUAGCAAUACGGAGUGGCAGACGGGUGAGUAACACGUGGGAACGUACCCUUCGGUUCGGAAUAACUCAGGGAAACUUGAGCUAAAACCGGAUACGUCCGAGAGGAGAAAGAUUUAUCGCCGAGGGAUCGGCCCGCGUCUGAUUAGCUUGUUGGCGAGGUAACGGCUCACCAAGGCGACGAUCAGUAGCUGGUCUGAGAGGAUGAUCAGCCACAUUGGGACUGAGACACGGCCCAAACUCCUACGGGAGGGCAGCAGUGGGGAAUAUUGGUACAAUGGGCGCAAGCCUGAUCCAGCCAUGCCGCGUGGAUGAUGAAGGCCUUAGGGUUGUAAAGUCCUUUUCGGCGGGAAGAUAAUGACGGUACCCGCAGAAGAAGCCCCGGCUAACUUCGUGCCAGCCGCCGCCGU
rnacentral:rRNA from 1 species